UGACUAGAAAAUUCCAGCCUGAAGUGACC
rnacentral:piRNA from 1 species